ensembl:lncRNA
CAGACUGAUAACAGAUAUCUUGCUCAAUGCUUAUGUAAACUUUCCAACACCAUAGACACAUCAGCUUUUAGGCUAUAAUUUAUAUUCAUGAUUUUCCCCCAACCUCAAAAUUUUCAUCAUUUUACUACCAUUUAAGUGUUUGCCAGCACUGGAGGAACAUUGCUUUUCAAAGAUGCGGUUCAUUUUAUUAUUGUGUGCACUUGUUAAAGCUUUCCAUGCAGACUUCUCGGAAAUAGGAUCUGGCGCUCCGGACUCAGGGUGGGGUCAUCUGUGGAUAGUGCUUGGAAAGGGAAAGUUAAUUUGCAUGAGCCCUGGAGAUUUGGAGAGUUUGAGACUUGCCCAUUUUCCCAUCAUAAUCUGAAACAAGUCAGAAG